CCUCAAAUCAAGCCUAACGUCACAACAUAUUUACUUUCCACUUUACAAAACCUUAAUAAAACAUUUUAUCUUUUAAGUAAAGGCGAUUAAAAAAAAUCUAAGCGCUAUAGAGAUAGUACCGCAAGGGAAAAAUGAAAUAUAAAUGAAAAAUUAAAGCCACUAACAGCAGAGAGUUCAUCUCGUACCUUUUGCAUCAUGGCUCAGCAAGCCUUUUUAAGCAAAAUGAAUUUUAAGUUUAAUAUCCCGAAACUAAGUGAGCUACUUCAGACCAGCCUGCAGGGCCAACCCAUCUCUGUUGCAAUAGAGUGGGACGAGUCUUAAGUAGAAGUGAAAAGCCUAUCGAACUUAGAAAUAGCUGGUUACUCAUGAAAAGAAUAUAAGUUCUGCCUUAAGUUAUGUUAUGAAUUCAAACAAAUCAAUUGACUUAGGAGUUAUUUAAAUAAGGAACAGCUUAUUUAAACCAGGACACAGCCUAGCCAAAAGGGUAAACAUAACCAAUUAUAAUUUAAGUGGGCCUAAGAGCAGCCACCUUUUAAAUCGCGUCAAAGCAUAAAUUUGUUAUUGCCUAAAUACCAAUAAUUAUAAUUAACCCUUAUUUUAUAAUGAGUGACUCCAUACCCAUAUGGAAGACACCAUGCUGAGAUUAGUAACAAGAAUAAGAUAUUCUCCAAAAUGUAAACGUAAACCAAAAUGGACUAUCCAUUGGUAAUUAACUAAAAUGAACCUACUGCAGAAACACUACCAAGAGAACCCUGCACCGUAAAUAGUUAACCUAACACUAGGACAUUACUGGAAAGAUUAAAAGAAAGAGAAGGAAUUCGGCAAAUUACAACCCCGCCUGUUUACCAAAAACAUCGCCUCUUGCACUCUCAUAAGAGGUCCCGCCUGCCCAGUGAAUUUUCAACGGCCGCGGUACCCUAACCGCGCGAAGGUAGCGUAAUCACUUGUUCUUUAAAUGGGGACUUGUAUCAAUGGCAUCACGAGGGUUACACUGUCUCCUCUUUCCAAUCAGUGAAAUUGAUCUUCCCGUGAAGAAGCGGGAAUAUAACUAUAAGACGAGAAGACCCCAUGGAGCUUUAAAUCGCGCAGCAACUUAAAUACACAACCCCUCAUAUUCUGUAAGACCGUGCUGCAACGUUUUAGGUUGGGGUGACCACGGAGUAAAAUCAAACCUCCACGACGAAAAGGCAAUAAUCUUUAUUUAUGAACUACUGUUCUAAAAAUUAGCACACUAACGGAUAAUGAUCCGAUAAUCGAUCAACGGACCAAGUUACCCUGGGGAUAACAGCGCAAUCUACUUUGAGAGCUCAUAUCGACAAGUAGGCUUACGACCUCGAUGUUGGAUCAGGGUAUCCCGGUGGUGCAGCCGCUACUGAAGGUUCGUUUGUUCAACGAUUAAAAC
rnacentral:rRNA from 1 species